CCUACGGGUGGCAGCAGUGGGGAAUAUUGCACAAUGGGGGAAACCCUGAUGCAGCGACGCCGCGUGAAGGAAGAAGUAUUUCGGUAUGUAAACUUCUAUUAGUAGGGAAGAAAAAGAAGGUACCUGAAUAAGAAGCCCCGGCUAACUAAGUUCCAGCAGCCGCGGUAAUACGUAGGGGGCAAGCGUUAUCCGGAUGUACUGGGUGUAAAGGGAGCGGAGGCGGUUUAGCAAGUCAGACGUGAAAGCCCGGGGCUCAACUCCGGGACUGCAUUUGAAACUGGUGAACUAGAGUGCAGGAGAGGUAGGUGGAAUUCCUAGUGUAGCGGUGAAAUGCGUAGAUAUUAGGAGGAACACCAGUGGCGAAGGCGGCUUACUGGACUGUAAAUGACGCUGAGGCUCGAAAGCGUGGGGAGCAAACAGGAUUAGAUACCCGUGUAGUC
rnacentral:rRNA from 1 species